CUUGUUACGACUUUUACUUCCACAUCGAUGAAGAACGCAGCGUAGACACAUGGCUGUGGAAGUAUAAGUCGUAACAAG
rnacentral:misc_RNA from 1 species